UACGAAGGGGGCGAGCGUUGCUCGGAAUCACUGGGCGUAAAGGGUGCGUAGGCGGGUCUUUAAGUCAGGGGUGAAAUCCUGGAGCUCAACUCCAGAACUGCCUUUGAUACUGAGGAUCUUGAGUUCGGGAGAGGUGAGUGGAACUGCGAGUGUAGAGGUGAAAUUCGUAGAUAUUCGCAAGAACACCAGUGGCGAAGGCGGCUCACUGGCCCGAUACUGACGCUGAGGCACGAAAGCGUGGGAGCAAACAGGG
rnacentral:rRNA from 1 species